AUUGAACGCUGGCGGCAUGCUUUACACAUGCAAGUCGAACGGCCACGCGGGCUUCGGCCUGGCGGCGAGUGGCGAACGGGUGAGUAAUGCAUCGGAACGUGCCCAGUAGUUGGGGAUAGCCCGGCGAAAGCCAGCUUAAUACCGCAUACGACCAUAGGGUGAAAGCGGGGGAUCGAAAGGCCUCGCGCUAUUUGAGCGUCCGAUGUCGGAUUAGCUAGUUGGUGUGGUAAAGGCUUACCAAGGCGACGAUCCGUAGCUGGUCUGAGAGGACGACCAGCCACACUGGGACUGAGACACGGCCCAGACUCCUACGGGAGGCAGCAGUGGGGAAUUUUGGACAAUGGGGGCAACCCUGAUCCAGCCAUGCCGCGUGCGGGAAGAAGGCCUUCGGGUUGUAAACCGCUUUUGUUCGGGAAGAAAUCCUCUGGGCGAAUACCCCGGGGGGAUGACGGUACCGGAAGAAUAAGCACCGGCUAACUACGUG
rnacentral:rRNA from 1 species